rnacentral:lncRNA from 1 species
UCUCCAAAACUCCUAAAAAUGAAAAAUCUGGAAAAAAAAAUAAGAAGCAAAAGAAUCGGUGAAACAGGCAGAAUUCUAAGUCUUGAUAUUGAAAAUUCAUACGAAGAUGAUUCAGAUGAAUAGAAAGAAGAAGAGGAUAGAAAGAAGAAGAGGUGUUUGUAUAUGUAUUUAUCACGAAUGUGUAUUUUACAGAUGCAUUUAGCUAAUAGGUACUCAUUUGUAUAUAUAUACAAAUCUUGUUGUAUAUAUAUACAUGUUGGA